UACGGAGGGGGCUAGCGUUGUUCGGAAUUACUGGGCGUAAAGCGCACGUAGGCGGAUAUUUAAGUCAGGGGUGAAAUCCCGGGGCUCAACCCCGGAACUGCCUUUGAUACUGGGUAUCUGGAGGUCGAGAGAGGCGAGUGGAAUUCCGAGUGUAGAGGUGAAAUUCGUAGAUAUUCGGAGGAACACCAGUGGCGAAGGCGGCUCGCUGGCUCGAUACUAACGCUGAGGAGCGAAAGCGUGGGGAGCGAACAGG
rnacentral:rRNA from 1 species